UUAAAAUCUCUAUGCAGUUAUUUCAAAAUAUAUUCAGAGCAAAUAACUUCACUACAGUUGCUGUCUCUUAAGACUUACGUCGUUUUGAGCAUUCUGGUUCUGGCUAAUAUCUUGAUUCAGGGGGUGCUAACAGCUGAUAAUAGUUCGGAGUCUAAUUCGGACAGAAAGGGAAAUUAGAGUACAGGAAAAGUUUUCGCCUGUUUAACAUUACGUUAAUCCACUAAAUUUUCAAAAUGCUGUCACUGAAAACACUUUUCAUAUUGGUACUCAUCAUGGCUGUUAUUAAUCCCCCCUACUAUACCGUGACUGCUGGCAAGCGUGAUGGGUCUUCAUCGGAGUCAUCAGAGUCAUCAAAGUCAUCAGAGUCAUCAGAGCCACGCCUUGGUCAUAAUGAGUCACACUCUACUAUUUCAUAUAAUGAAAUUUAUGCGAAACCAAUACUCAUUGGUUAGUAACAUGGCUCCCUCGACAGUCUGAACUGGAUGGAUAAUGAAUUUCUGAACAAUAUUUACCACAAUACAUGGCGUGUACAUAUAAGAGAAUAAACCCAAACAACUAUCUACUGUUGCAAUAAUUGCUGUUGUGUUACACCUCUCCUAGACUAAACAUUGAAAGGAUAUUCACAUUUGAAGAUGCUGAGGGGGCCG